UAAAAGAUAAGCAUGAUUCCAACAAAAAAGAAUCAUGAAAUUUGGUCAACUUUUUUCAGAACAUAAAAUGGAUACAUUUUGCAAUACACACACUAGGAAAGUAGUGGCGAGCAACAAAAUCUAACUCCUUGACCAAUGAGAGAAUAGGCCCACCAGUACUAUAUAUGCGCAAUUUGCUAAACAGAAAUGAAAUUCAGUUCAAAUUUAACUCCCCAUGCUAACCAGGCCUUGACAAUUCUUGUGUGAAAUCAAAAGCAAGCUUUGCACACACAAAAAAAAUCCCCUAAAAUUGUGCGAUAAAUUCAAAUAACAUGCAAGAGUAAAAACAUGACAUACCACAGAUUGUAA
rnacentral:misc_RNA from 1 species